rnacentral:rRNA from 2 species
AUAACGACUCUCGGCAACGGAUAUCUCGGCUCUCGCAUCGAUGAAGAACGUAGCGAAAUGCGAUACUUGGUGUGAAUUGCAGAAUCCCGUGAACCAUCGAGUCUUUGAACGCAAGUUGCGCCCCAAGCCUUUAGGCCGAGGGCACGUCUGCCUGGGCGUCACG